rnacentral:sRNA from 1 species
UUUUUUCACAGCCACUUAUGUGGCAACAUUUCACCGAAAAAUCGUUUUUCUUAUUUCCUUGAAUUUCAACUAAAAGUCGGUAAAAUGUCGAGUUCAAACGAAAAACCAGGGAAAACCGUUCCGGAAACUAAAUUAUGCCAAAGGGGGUGGUGAAGUGCGAUCAGGAGUGGGCGGACCCGUUGAAAUGAGCGGGACGUGUUAGCAUCGAGCGCCGCAGAAAAUAACAAUUUAUGGGCCUCCGUUUUUGGGGGCGAAAUCAGGGGAAGAUGGGGCUGCAAUCGGCAGUCAGUUGGCAGCUGUGCAUGGCAACUCUAUCUGCUGGGGGAACCAGGACGUGGCUCCAGUCCCUGGCUCCUGCUACCGCUGCAAUUCGUUAAGUGCUCCGCACAUACAAACCAACACACAUACUGCCUCACCCACUCUGGCACACACUGGAGGAUACUGGAGGAGUGCAUACAAUAUGCCGCAAUUUAUGCGCACAAUUGGGCUGCCACGCCCACAAUCAAGGCAAGUACUAAGGCGGGGACACGUGCCGCUUGUCAGAGAUCGUCGACGGGCGAUGCACGGCAAACCGCUCGCCGACCGCAGAACUAAUUGAAAUUGCCAGCCAGGCGGUUUGCAUUAGUUUACCUUGCUCCCCGGAUGGGUGCAUGAUGCACUGGGAAAGGGGGUAAGCUUAAAGGAGGAUGAGGUAAAGAGACAGUUGCGUGAUUUCCCCAAGCUGAUGUAAGCACUCGAGCCCAACGAUAGUGGACCAACUCCGCAAAUUGGAAAACGGAAACAAAAACUCUAUCAACUGAAGCAGAUGAUUUACUUUGUUUUUAAAAGCAAUUUAUCUCUAUUUCUGUAUUUUUUUCUCGAAUGGCACUGAAACCAAAAAUGUGACAACAGCAGAACUGCCAACGACUUUACUUCGAAAACAAUAUAAAUACACAUACUUGGCCAAUAAGGAGAUAAAACAAACAGGGACACACACACACUCAAUACGAGUACAGGCGAAAAACAAUAAAAUGGAAACAUCAACUCGAGAAGUCAUCAAUGGAGGACGCAGGAAAGGAAGCCAAGCAAGGAAGAGGAGCUAUCGCCGUUUGCCUUUUAACUUGUCCGGACAAUGACAACAAUGAGUAGCAAUGAACCAAAAUGAAUGAGUCUAUAAAUAAAUGAAUGCAACGUUUCCAUUUCACAUCGAUUGGCAAGACAAUAGUAGGGAAGACAAAAUGGUCAAGAGGAAUUAUUAAAUAAUAUGAAAUGG